UUUGUAUCACUACGCCACAGUAACAGGUGAAACACUCUUCGUCAAAGUUAUCUCGGGGACAUUAACAGAGACGGAUGACAUCAUUGCAGAUGAGGGUUGAAACGACCCAUCGGAUGAUUGCAUGUCAGAGAAGUGUGACCCCCGUUUCUCUCCCUCUUUCUUUUUGUAACUCUCUCUGUCGGUUUCCGGAGUUUGCAAGCCUUUCUUCAUGAUCCGUGAUGGAUAAUGGUCAUUCCUGUUGCUCCGGCAAACAGCAGAUCACGAAAGCAUUUCCAGGUGACCAGAAUAGGAACCAGAAAACGAUCAGGGGAAAAAGAGAAGGAGGUGAUCAGUGCUGAAAUCGGCGGACAGGGCCAAAGAUCAAUUGGUCACAGAUACACCAUCAUCCCCCGCUGUAGAGGCGUGGGAAAGUGAGCAAAAAUGUCUAGCUGUAGCCCGAUCUCCUGGUGAUAGAUGCCAGGCCAGGGGUAUUUGUGGGCACGUGUGUGCAAGAUCUGGCCCAGCUGCUUCGCUCUAUACCCUGCCCUGGCACAAAAUGAAGAUAUAGCCCGGACUCGGAGUGUGCCAAACUGCUACCUCUCCAUGUGCCUUAUGUGCCAACACCUCAACAAGUUUACAGUUGACUGCUUCAACACCUUCCAUGAGGUUUUUAAAUCCAUGUUUGGAUUCCUAUGGUCAGUUCAUAUAGCAUUUGAAUUCAUUCAAGUCAAAGUGGUACAUAGAGGGUUAACCCUGUGUGCGCGUGUGUGAUCAUCUUUCUGACAGUGAUUCUUUAAAUUGGAGAGGCUUAUAAUGAAACACAUUUGGUCAGGUGAUAAUAACAGAAUAAGAUUGGAGAAUCUGAGUGGCUGGUGUGAGGUCGUCGCCAACAUGUCCAACAUAAAGGCAGGUUUUCAUUAAAAGCUUUUCUCUUUACAGUAAAUAAAAACGAUUUUCGUUUUUAAACUUUUACUUUUAUAAAACUGAUUUGAUAGUUAAUAUUAAAUAGGAUUAAAUUCAUAGCAGGGGUUUUUGGAGGUGCGAAAAUUUUUUUGGAUGAUCUUUUAUUAGAACGAGAAUCCCAUGGAAUAAAUUUACAACAAAG